rnacentral:rRNA from 1 species
AUUGAACGCUGGCGGCAGGCCUAACACAUGCAAGUCGAACGGUAGCACAGAGAGCUUGCUCUCGGGUGACGAGUGGCGGACGGGUGAGUAACGUCUGGGAAACUGCCCGAUGGAGGGGGAUAACUACUGGAAACGGUAGCUAAUACCGCAUAACGUCGCAAGACCAAAGUGGGGGACCUUCGGGCCUCACACCAUCGGAUGUGCCCAGAUGGAAUUAGCUAGUAGGUGGGGUAAUGGCUCACCUAGGCGACGAUCCCUAGCUGGUCUGAGAGGAUGACCAGCCACACUGGAACUGAGACACGGUCCAGACUCCUACGGGAGGCAGCAGUGGGGAAUAUUGCACAAUGGGCGCAAGCCUGAUGCAGCCAUGCCGCGUGUAUGAAGAAGGCCUUCGGGUUGUAAAGUACUUUCAGCGGGGAGGAGGCGGUGAAGUUAAUAGCUUAACCGAUUGACGUUACCCGCAGAAGAAGCACCGGCUAACUCCGUGCCAGCAGCCGCCGUAA